GUUCGCUUCAGCAGCACAUAUACUAAAAUUGGAAUGACAGAGAAGGUUAGCACGGCUCCUAAACAAGGAUAAUACACAAAUUCAUCUAGCGUUCCAAAUUUUU